rnacentral:rRNA from 1 species
AUUGAACGCUGGCGGCAUGCCUUACACAUGCAAGUCGAACGGUAACGCGGGGCAACCUGGCGACGAGUGGCGAACGGGUGAGUAAUACAUCGGAACGUGCCCGAUCGUGGGGGAUAACGGAGCGAAAGCUUUGCUAAUACCGCAUACGAUCUACGGAUGAAAGCAGGGGACCGCAAGGCCUUCUGCGGACGGAGCGGCCGAUGGCAGAUUAGGUAGUUGGUGGGAUAAAAGCUUACCAAGCCGACGAUCUGUAGCUGGUCUGAGAGGACGACCAGCCACACUGGGACUGAGACACGGCCCAGACUCCUACGGGAGGCAGCAGUGGGGAAUUUUGGACAAUGGGCGAAAGCCUGAUCCAGCCAUGCCGCGUGCAGGAUGAAGGCCUUCGGGUUGUAAACUGCUUUUGUACGGAACGAAAAGCCUCUUUCUAAUAAAGAGAGGUCAUGACGGUACCGUAAGAAUAAGCACCGGCUAACUACGUGCCAGCCGCCGCUGUAA